rnacentral:lncRNA from 1 species
GUUCGUUUCUGUGUGUGUUACAUUUUAACAUUGCGUCGUUUGUUUUCUCUUAUUUUUGAGUGUAAAUUCACAUUGCGAUAAGACGUGUCACGGUAAUUGUUUAUCCCAAAUUCAUGUAUUUGGUUUUGAUGUUAUAUUUGUUAUUCUCGUGGGAUUUUGUCUGAUGCUUGGUCCGUUUCUGUGUGUGUUACAUUGAAGUGUUGUGUCGUUGUU